UUGUUCUCCUGCCUCCUGCAGUAAGCAGCUCAGCCCAUGAAAUAGCCCACCAUCCCUACCAGAAGUAUGAAGAAACUGCAAAAUGAACCAAUUUCAAGGCUACCUCCAUGCAGCAAAAGCACCCCCCGCCCCACCCCAUCUUGACUUCUGAGAGAGCAACAUGCUUGGUUUCGUUUUCAUCAGUGGUGAAUGAAGCACGGUCACUUACACUGAAUCAACAGUCAGCCACACCACAAGUUUGAAGUGUGCAGGCCCUACUUGUAAAAUGAAUGUAAUACUACACUUAUCAAGAACAAAGGAGUAACCAGAACAGACUCUGGUAUAAGUGGCUAGAAAAUGCUUUUCUUUAUAAGAACCUCUGUCAUUAUUUGUAAGUACCCCACUUCACAUAUUACUAUCAAUAUUGAAUGCACUGAUAGGUAAAAUAAUGGCUAGUGUUACGAAGUAAGCCAGAACCUCUUUCUUUUACAUAAUCUAAAUAUGCCUUUGCUGUAGGAGCUUAAAUUUAAAGAUAGAUCACAGAAAGAAAAGAAAUCAAACAUACACUACACCACACA